UACGGGGGGAGCAAGCGUUGUUCGGAUUUACUGGGCGUAAAGCGCACGUAGGCGGCUUCGCAAGUCCCAUGUGAAAGCCCACGGCUUAACCGUGGAAGUGCAUGGGAAACUGCAGAGCUUGAGUACUUAAGAGGAUCGCGGAAUUCCCGGUGUAGAGGUGAAAUUCGUAGAUAUCGGGAGGAACACCAGUGGCGAAGGCGACUACCUGGCCUGUUCUUGACGCUGAGGCGCGAAAGCUAGGGGAGCAAACGGG
rnacentral:rRNA from 1 species